rnacentral:lncRNA from 1 species
UCACUCAAUCGCUAUUACGAUUCAUUUUCCGAGUGAUCAAUAUAUCCAAGGAAUGCCUAAGUGCCGCCCACAUUGGGUUAUGCUUUGUCGUUUGUCGGUAAUCCGAUAAAUGAGUUGAAGCAUUGUACUUUGUCGUUGUCGAUAAUUCGAUAAUGAGUUGAAGUACUAUACUUUGUCGUUUGUCAUUUUGAUAAAUGAGUUGAAGUAUUGCACUUGGUCAUUCAUUGUGAGAAUUUGAUCUCGGGAAAUUAUCGUAACUGCUGUAUUAAUCAUUACCCCGGUUUUUGUGAAAUUCGUUAAGGUUCGAAUCUCAUGACUACCGUUAAGGUUUGAUUUGGGUUUUACACCAAUACGUAUUCUAUUCUGUUAAACCACCAAAAACACUCCCAACUACACCCUUACAAUCAAACAAACUAUUAAAUCAUCAGAAGAUCCAGAAUAAUAAAUGCCUAAUUAUCGAAAGAAGUAGAAUCAAGAAGUUUGUUAAUUCAAUCCUGCAUGCUGAAUUGUAAUUACAGUAGAUUGGAGUAAGGAUUGGAUUCGGCACUAAAAGACUUCAAGAAGUGGCUUAUUUUAUUAAUUAAAUCAACUUAAGAAAUAUUGUUUUCAUUAAAAGCUACCUUUGUAAAACAUGGAAUUUAUUCCAUCUAUUUCAAUAAAAAUCCGGUGUUUCUAAACUCUGAUAUUUUCCUAACUCACGGUCCUGAUGAAAUUUCCGCUGCAAUGUUUUUAAAAUAAUCACCGGUACCACUGGACUGCUC